CUGCGUGUAGCUCAGUGGCGAGAGCACCGGACGUGGAGUCCGGAGGACGGGGGUUCGAGUCCCCUCACGCGGCCCC
rnacentral:tRNA from 1 species